UACGUAGGUGGCAAGCGUUGUCCGGAAUUAUUGGGCGUAAAGCGCGCGCAGGCGGUCUUUUAAGUCUGAUGUGAAAGCCCCCGGCUCAACCGGGGAGGGUCAUUGGAAACUGGAAGACUUGAGUGCGAGAGAGAAGAGUGGAAUUCCAUGUGUAGCGGUGAAAUGCGUAGAGAUAUGGAGGAACACCAGUGGCGAAAGCGGCUCUGCUGGGCCAUUACUGACGCUCAUGGACGAAAGCCAGGGGAGCAAAAGGG
rnacentral:rRNA from 1 species